GCGAGGCCGGCAGAGGGGACGGAGCGGUGAGGCUGCCCCCUCCCAAGCGCCCGCCCCCUUUGGUGCCGCCAUUAACAGGGAACGUGCGGCGGCGGUGCUUACACGGGAGUAAGGCCCGCUGUAGUCGGCCUGGUUUUCUUCCGAGUAGACCCCUGAGGGCUCGUGCUCCGCUUUGCCAGCUCACGGCGCGGCCCGGCUGUUUACUGCUGACUGUUCGAGUUGUCAGUCGCCUGUUGCGCAAAGGAGGAGAAGCACCAAGUGCCCUUGAGAGCCCAGAUGAAGCGCUGACGUAAUGGUGCAUCUUGAAAUUGUUGUAGCCCGCCCUGGGACCUUUGGCUGAAGGGCCAAGAAGCUCAGAUGGCGAGGAUCAAAGGCUACCAUCAAAGCCGAAGCGGAGACAUUCAGAAGCACUGUGCCUGCUGUAGCUGAGCAACGCCAAGUGUGGUUACCCUGUAGUAAAAUGAAAAAUUAAAGAGUCAAGCAGCCAUUGAGGCUUUGAUGCCUUCUGCAGACAUUUUAUUCAGUCAGAGAGCCAAUCCCAGCCAGGCCCACAGACAGUUUCAUGAAACCACAGAACA